GCUAUUGGUCUCACUGAAGUAACCCUGGGACCACGGGAUUAUUGCAGCCUGUUGCCUGUGGCUGUAUUGGUUUGUGCUUGGUGAAAGCUUUAAUUGCUUUUCAUUUGGUGCUGAAAUUGUCACAUAUACAUUUCACAUACAUGAUUGUCAACUUGAUUGGUUGGAGAAAUUAGUAAAGCACACUUGCGGAGCCUUCAGCUUGGUAUAGCCACAUGACUGAGUCCUGGGCUAUGGGAAGAGCCAGCACCUUGGAAGUGUUCUAAAGAAAUGGAGGAAGAAGGGCUGUUCUGUUCCUUGUUUCUUUUUCAUUACUUGCUGGAAUGCGGUUGCAGUGAUUUGAGUUCUUGGCGGGUGAGGCCGAACAUAUUGAAAGAAUUGUUACAAGAAAGGACCCAUUUGCUUACCCGACACCCUGGAUUGUGGCCACAGGAGACCUAGACUGUCCCCUGGACUUUUUUUCCACAAGAAAUCAUCUGUUACUCAGUUUAAACCUGUAAUCUCAGUCAGUCCUAGAGUAAUUCCUUCCCUCCUGUUUGUUAAGUUGCUUUCUUUACUACUUAACACAUUAAUCACCGGAUUCUUUGCCAAAGAUGUACAACUUUUUUCAGUAUGAAUGAUCAGUUUAUCAGUUUCAUCUUCUACAGAGUUACCUUUCCAGGCACUCAUCUUGCUCCAGUGUGGGCUAAUUCUGAGGUAUGGCAUGGCAGUAAUUCUUGACUAUCCUUUCAUCACUACCCUGCAGAAUCUUAUUUGGCUUGGCUUGGACAUUUUAUUUCCAGGAUCUUUUUUUUUUUUCUUUCAACGUCUAAUCUUAGGAAGAGGAAAAUGGGAGUUAAACGUUUGAGACUUAAAGUCUUUGUUUUAUUGGUCCCUUAUUUAUAGUACAGAUGGACAUAGAAUUCUACAUUGGAACCUUUCUUAUCUUUUAGAGGCAGUGCUCAGGGCAGGCCAAAUUGCUGAGUGGAUUAAAACUGCCUGCAAGUAGGACCAGGGGUGUCGGGGGUUUGAUCCCUGGGCCUGCCAUGCCAGCCCUAC